AGAGCGCAAGGGGAAUGCCUUGGCACCAGGAGCCGACGAAGGACGCAGCAAUCUGCGAAAAGCCACGGGGAGCCGAAAGCAGGCAUCGAUCCGUGGAUGUCCGAAUGGGGAAACCCGGCUGGCUGAAGGCCAGUCAGCGUACACUGAAUCCAUAGGUGUGCGCGGGGAACCGCCUGAACUGAAACAUCUAAGUAGGGCGAGGAAAAGAAAUCAACCGAGAUUCCGCAAGUAGUGGCGAGCGAACGCGGAAGAGGCCAAACCGGUCGUAGAAAUAUGGCCGGGGUUUGGACAGCAUAAAGCAUGCUGGACCCUAGCAGAAGGGCAUGGGACGGCCCACCACAGAGAGUGAAAGUCUCGUAUGCGAAAGGGAAAGGCAGCUGGCUGGAUCCAGAGUACCACUGGACACGUGAAACCCGGUGGGAAAACGGGGGGACCACCCUCCAAGCCUAAAUACUCCCUGGUGACCGAUAGCGAAGAGUACUGUGAAGGAAAGGUGAAAAGAACCCCGGGAGGGGAGUGAAAAGAACCUGAAACCUUGUGCUUACAAGCACACAGAGCACGUCAAGGUGUGAUGUGGUACCUUUUGUAGAAUGGUCCGGCGAGUGAAUGUAGCAGGCAAGGUUAAGCACUUGAGGUGCGGAGCCGAAGCGAAAGCAAGUCUGAAGAGGGCGUCAAGUCUGCUGUAUUCGACCCGAAACCGGGUGACCUAGCCAUGUCCAGGCUGAAGUGAAGGUAAAACUUCAUGGAGGGCCGAACCCACUCCCGUUGAAAUGGUAGGGGAUGAGGUGUGGCUAGCGGAGAAAUUCCAAUCGAACCCGGAGAUAGCUGGUUCUCUCCGAAAUAGCUUUAGGGCUAGCCUCGAUUGAACAUUACCGGAGGUAAAGCACUGAAUGGGCUAGGGGCCGAGAGGUUACCGAACCCUAUCAAACUCAGAAUGCCGGAUAAUGAUGAUCGGGAGUCAGACAGUGUGAGAUAAGUUUCAUUGUCGAAAGGGAAACAGCCCAGACCCACAGCUAAGGUCCCAAAGUAUCGUUAAGUGGAAAAGGAUGUGGAACUGCCCAGACAACCAGGAUGUUGGCUCAGAAGCAGCCAUACAUUCAAAGAGUGCGUAAUAGCUCACUGGUCGAGUGGUUCUGCGCCGAAAAUUUAACGGGGCUAAACGAUACACCGAAGCUUGGGAUUUCAGAUGUCAGACAGUAGACAUCAGACAACAGACAGGAGCCGAAAGAAAUGGAAGGAUACCGGAAGCUGAAGAUAUAUGAGAAAUCGUAUCGUGCGGCAUUGGCGGUAUACCGGAUGACGGAAAGCUUCCCGGAAAGGGAAAAGUACGGAAUCACAGAUCAGAUGAGGCGAGCGUCUGUAUCGAUUGCGCUGAAUAUAGCGGAAGGGUACGCCAAGAAAGAGAGCCAGGCAGAAUUCAGAAGAUAUCUGAUGAUGGCAUAUGGCUCAGCGAACGAAAUGGGCGUAUUGAUAGACCUGUCGAAGGACCUUGGGUACACAGAAGAAGAAGUGUACGAAAAGGCGGGGAAGACAUAUGAGGAAAUACGGCGGAUGCUGUAUGGACUCGUAAAAGGUCUGAAGUCUGAUAUCUAGCGUCUGACAUCUGAGAUGGUAGGAGAGCGUUCUGUACGGGGUGAAGUCAUAGCGGAAGCGGUGGUGGACUGUACAGAAGAGAGAAUGCCGGAAUGAGUAGCGAGAUUUAUGUGAGAAUCAUAAAGGCCGAAAGACUAAGGAUUUAGAAGGAAGGUUCGUCCGCUUCUAGUUAGCCGGGAGCUAAGGCGAGGCCGAAAGGCGUAGUCGAUGCACAUACGGUGGAGAUUCCGUAGCCGCCUCUUGAUUUAAGCAAAGGGACACUUUCAAAGGGAAUGACCCGGGCGUUGGUAGCCCCGGGCGAAAGGGACCGAAAUUAGAGUAGGGAAGCAUUUCUGGAGGAAGGCGAGAAAAGCUUUGCGGAUAGAGAGAGGCGCCCGUACCGCAAACCGACACAGGUAGUCAGGAAGAGGAUUCUAAGGCCAACGGGAGAAGGGUAGUUAAGGAACUCGGCAAAUUGACCCCGUAACUUCGGAAUAAGGGGUGCUCCUGAAAAGGAGCCGCAGUGAAUAGGCCCAGGCGACUGUUUAUCAAAAACACAGCUCUCUGCUAAAUCGAAAGAUGAAGUAUAGGGGGUGACACCUGCCCGGUGCUGGAAGGUUAAGAGGAAGGGUGCAAGCUCUGAAUUGAAGCCCCAGUAAACGGCGGCCGUAACUAUAACGGUCCUAAGGUAGCGAAAUUCCUUGUCGGGUAAGUUCCGACCCGCACGAAUGGUGUAACGAUCUGGGCACUGUCUCAACUACCCACCCGGCGAAAUUGUAGUACCGGUGAAGAUGCCGGUUACCCGCGGCAAGACGGAAAGACCCCAUGGAGCUUUACUGUAGCCUGAUAUUGGGUUUCGGUAUUCUAUGUACAGGAUAGGCGGGAGACAGGGAACCGUUGGCGUCAGCUGACGGGGAGUCGCCCUUGGGAUACCGCUCUUAGAGUAUUGGAAUUCUAACCUGCGGCCGUGAAUCCGGCCGGGGGACAUUGUCAGGUGGGCAGUUUGACUGGGGCGGUCGCCUCCUAAAAGGUAACGGAGGCGCUCAAAGGUUCGUUCAGCACGGACGGAAAUCGUGCAUUGA
rnacentral:rRNA from 1 species